rnacentral:rRNA from 1 species
GACGAACGCUGGCGGCGUGCCUAAUACAUGCAAGUAGAACGCUGAAGAGAGGAGCUUGCUCUUCUUGGAUGAGUUGCGAACGGGUGAGUAACGCGUAGGUAACCUGCCUUGUAGCGGGGGAUAACUAUUGGAAACGAUAGCUAAUACCGCAUAACAAUGGAUGACACAUGUCAUUUAUUUGAAAGGGGCAAUUGCUCCACUACAAGAUGGACCUGCGUUGUAUUAGCUAGUAGGUGAGGUAAUGGCUCACCUAGGCGACGAUACAUAGCCGACCUGAGAGGGUGGUCUGCCAGACUGGGACUGAGACACGGCCCAGACUCCCACGGGAGGCAGCAGUAGGGAAUCUUCGGCAAUGGGGGCAACCCUGACCGAGCAACGCCGCGUGAGUGAAGAAGGUUUUCGGAUCGUAAAGCACUGUUGUAAGUCAAGAACGGGUGUGAGAGUGGAAAGUUCACACUGUGACGGUAGCUUACCAGAAAGGGACGGCUAACUACGUG